rnacentral:rRNA from 1 species
GACGAACGCUGGCGGCGUGCUUAACACAUGCCAGUCGAACGGAAAGGCCCCUUUGGGGGUCCUCGAGUGGCGAACGGGUGAGUAACACGUGAGUAACCUGCCCUUGACUUCGGGAUAACUUCAGGAAACUGGGGCUAAUACCGGAUAGGAAUCCUUGCUGCAUGGUGGGGGUUGGAAAGCUUCGGCGGUUUUGGAUGGACUCGCGGCUUAUCAGCUUGUUGGUGGGGUAGUGGCUUACCAAGGCUUUGACGGGUAGCCGGCCUGAGAGGGCGACCGGCCACAUUGGGACUGGGAUACGGCCCAGACUCCUACGGGAGGCAGCAGUGGGGAAUAUUGCACAAUGGGCGGAAGCCUGAUGCAGCAACGCCGCGUGCGGGAUGACGGCCUUCGGGUUGUAAACCGCGUUCAGCAGGGGCGAAGCUUGUGGUGACGGUACCUGCAGAAGAAGCACCGGCUAACUACGUG